AAUUUUGCGCAAUGGGCGAAAGCCUGACGCAGCGACACCGCGUGGGGGAUGAAGGGUCUUGGCUCGUAAACCCCUGUCAGAUGGGACGAGGGGGCAUAUAGUUAAUACCUGUAUGCUUUGACGGUACCAUCAGAGGAAGCACCGGCUAAAUACGUGCCAGCAGCCGCGGUAAUACGUAUGGUGCAAACGUUGCUCGGAAUCAUUGGGCGUAAAGAGUGGGUAGGCGGAUUAGUAAGUCUGAUGUGAAAGCCCGGAGCUCAACUCCGGAAGUGCAUUGGAUACUGCUAGUCUUGAUUUCAGGAGAGGGAAGCAGAAUUCCUGGUGUAGGAGUGAAAUCCGUAGAUAUCAGGAGGAAUACCAGAGGCGAAGGCGGCUUCCUGGACUGACAAUGACGCUGAGCCACGAAAGCGUGGGUAGCAAACAGGAUUAGAUACCCUGGUAGUCCACGCCCUA
rnacentral:rRNA from 1 species